GCUAUUGUUAUGAAAUCUAUUUAUAGCUACAGAUCUGUUUACGAGUUCCAAUCAUUUAACGUUAUAAUAUUAUCAUUUGUGGUACAUUAUAUGUAUCAAAAUCACGAGUUUUUAAUAGUGCUUUAACAUUUAAUCAUAGUGUCAGAAAAGGGAAAGAAAAACAUAAUUAACCUAUAAUUCGAAACUACAGCCACGUGGAUGGAAAUUCAAAUUCGUAGGCGUUACGUUUUGGCUGUCGGUCAGGAAUUGGGAUGCAUUGAUAAAGUGAAUAUUUUAGAUUUUCUUGAACAAAAAGGUAGAUCCAGUUCCAAGUGUUGGACAUGCUCUCAAAGGUCGGAGGGACAGAAACACGUGAUAAUGUAAAAAGAAACAUGGCAAAUGAAAAUGAUAUCACAAACGCUAUUGGACAUUAACAUAUCCUCCGGACAGACGAGGGAUGGUUAGAGAAGGUCAUAUCUAAAAGCAUCACACCUCUAAAUUCGUGCUAAUUCUCAUGGAUAUUUAAAAGUAUAACUUUGUGAAGUAACUAAAAGGAAGUAAUUUAUACCUUAGUGACAAUUAUCAAAAGGAGGUCAAAAUAUGCAAAAUGGCACUAAAUGUUUUAGUAAUGCUGUAGAAAUAUAGUUAAAAUACUGAAAAUCUGUCAUUAAUUGCUUGAAACAUUAUUAUCCGAAUCUUUUAACUUUUCUUAAAAUUAUAAUAUUUUCAUUAUUUUGUUUGAUAAGGCAAACUUUGAUAGAAAUGUACAUACAUUGUUUUGUUCUUUAAUAUUUGUAUAUGUUUUCUUAGUUUCAUUUAUGUCAUUGUUUUUGUAAUACUUUUUGUUUUGUUAUUAACUUAUUUUAUGUUUUAUUUUGUUUAAUUUAUGAAAAGUAUUUAGCCUUGCAGAAUUUACUAAAAUUGUAUGUAUCAGCUUAAAAUUGGAACUUUUA